rnacentral:misc_RNA from 1 species
AAGACAAGACCCAGCACGACGUACACAGCUAGCAGCUGCAAGCCCUCGAACCAGGUGGAUUCGCCUUCCUGCGUCACUUGGUUGGCGAUAAGGAUCGCCAUGAAGAUUGCCCCGAGCUCGAGUCCGUUGAACACGAGCGACAUCGGGAACGGUCCGAUGAAGAACGCAG